AACAAGGUGGCUGAGUGGUUAAGGUGAUGGACUGCUAGUACAUUGUGCUCUACCUACAUGGGUUUGAAUCCCAUCCUUGUCA
rfam:Alligator sinensis unplaced genomic scaffold scaffold602_1, whole genome shotgun sequence